GAUUUACAUUUGAGUGAGUGGCGAACUGGUGAGUAACACGUGGGAAACCUGCCCAGAAGCGGGGGAUAACACCUGGAAACAGAUGCUAAUACCGCAUAACAACUUGGACCGCAUGGUCCGAGUUUGAAAGAUGGCUUCGGCUAUCACUUUUGGAUGGUCCCGCGGCGUAUUAGCUAGAUGGUGAGGUAACGGCUCACCAUGGCAAUGAUACGUAGCCGACCUGAGAGGGUAAUCGGCCACAUUGGGACUGAGACACGGCCCAAACUCCUACGGGAGGCAGCAGUAGGGAAUCUUCCACAAUGGACGAAAGUCUGAUGGAGCAACGCCGCGUGAGUGAAGAAGGGUUUCGGCUCGUAAAACUCUGUUGUUAAAGAAGAACAUAUCUGAGAGUAACUGUUCAGGUAUUGACGGUAUUUAACCAGAAAGCCACGGCUAACUACGUGCCAGCAGCCGCGGUAAUACGUAGGUGGCAAGCGUUGUCCGGAUUUAUUGGGCGUAAAGCGAGCGCAGGCGGUUUUUUAAGUCUGAUGUGAAAGCCUUCGGCUCAACCGAAGAAGUGCAUCGGAAACUGGGAAACUUGAGUGCAGAAGAGGACAGUGGAACUCCAUGUGUAGCGGUGAAAUGCGUAGAUAUAUGGAAGAACACCAGUGGCGAAGGCGGCUGUCUGGUCUGUAACUGACGCUGAGGCUCGAAAGUAU
rnacentral:rRNA from 1 species